rnacentral:lncRNA from 10 species
GGGCACCUAAGUGUAGAACCCUGCCGAGGACUCAGGGGCUGGUGCUAUUGGGCACGAAACAGCCAAGAGGCUCAGCUUCCCUGUAAAAUGAAGAUGAUGAUGCCACCACCCUAUGAGACUAUCAAGUCCCAGCAUUCUUCACCCUUCAAUCUCACCUUCUAUUCCUGAUAAUAGGGAGGCAGCAGAAACCCACGGCAGGCAAUGGGACUCAACUUCUACACACCACCACCACUUAAUCGUGAUUCCCCCAAACAGCAGAGCCUCAGCAGCCAGCAGAGGUUGGGAUGGGUGGGGCAGGACUGAGUUCAUCUCUAGUGAUCAUGAGAUAAAAAUUUCCAACCCAUGAGACUCAUGUGCCAUCUGCUGGUUGGUCAGACCA